AUAUUUGGUACAAUAAAAACAAUUUAAAAAAUAAUAAAAUGAAAUCUUGGUUAUAUAAUGAAACUGAUACAACUGUUACCAGUACAAGCAAAAACUGCUAGGAUUGCUGGUUUUAGGUGUGGACUUAUUUUGGUAUAUUUCUGGGAAAGGGCUCUGGUAAUCUUGGAUGUCAUGAAUGUCUAGUAGAGCAAGGUAGGUAUAGCCAAUUUUCAAAGUGUGUAUCACUUACAGAUUAAAUCCAGGAUCUUUAAUUGCACUCAGGAACUGAUGGGAUCCCAUUGAAGUGAAUUGAGCACAGGCAUAAUGAGCUCACACGGGCCUGCUUUUCUAAGCACAUGGACCAAUGGAUUCUGCUGUCCCUUAUGUAGAACUCUUAUUCCUCUCUGAGGGCGCCUCCAGCCGACUUCACCGAGGCCAGCCAGGAGCACUCACGGGAUGACGGUUUUCCAACAUUUUGUACCUUCUGCCAUCAGGAAAGGAAGGGGAGGGGAUGCUGCUGUUCAGCGCCACAGCACCGCGUCUACCAGCAGCAUGCAGUAGACCUAUGGUGAAAUUGAAAAAUGGGAAGAAACGAUUUUUUCCCCUUUUCUUUCACGAGGGGUGAGGGGGAGGCGUAAAUUGAUGAGAGAGACCCUGAACCACCCCGGACAAUGUUUUUGACUCUACAGGCAUUGGGAGCUCAGCCAAGAAUGCAAAUACUUUUCGGAGACUGCGAGGACUGUGGGAUAGCUGGAGUCCUCAGUCCCCCCUCCCUCCCUCCAUGAGCGUCCAUUUGAUUCUUUGGCUUUCCAUUACGCUUGUCACACAGCACUGUGCUGAGUUCCUGCUGUGGCCUCUGUCUAUCAUAGCCUGGAGAUUUUUUCAAAUGCUUCAUCAUUUAGUCUUCUGUAACGGAACUCUGAUAGAACAGAUUUGUCUCCCCAUACAGCGAUCAGAUCCAGUAUCUCCCCUACAGUCCAUGCUGGAGCUCUUUUUGGAUUUGGGACUGCAUGGCCACCCGUACUGAUCAGAGCUCCACACUGGGCAAACAGGAAAUGAAAUUCAAAAGUUCGCGGGGCUUUUUCUGUCUACCUGGCCAGUCCAUCCAAGUUCAGAUUGCUUUCCAGAGCGGUCACAAUGGUGCACUGUGGGAUACCGCCUGGAAGCCAAUACGGUCGAUUUGUGGCCACAAUAACCUUAAUCCGACAUGGCAAUACCAAUUUCAGCGCUGCUACUCUCGUUGAGGAGAAGUACAGAAAUCGGUUUAAAGAGCCCUUUAUAUCAAUAUAAAGGGCCUUGUGAGGACGAGUGCAGGGUGAAAUCGGUUUAAUGCUGCUAAAUUUGGUUUAAAUGCGUAAUGUAGACCAGACCUGAGAAAAAAACGAGGCUGCAUUUUGUCAGCCAGUCUAAUAGGUUGGUGAAAAAUCUUUCAUCUAUUAACUUAAAUAUCUGGCUCUCCAAGUACUGGGAGUAUUGAUUAUCCAGGAGGCCCUCCAAACUGUUGCUCUUUGGCUACAUCCAAUUAGCAUUUUUCUUAAAAUUUCCCAUCACUGGUGUACCAGCAGUGGUAGCAAUGGUGGGAGGACAAGUAUAGACCUACUGCCACCAGCUCUGUGGAGGAGGCUUUAGAGAUGUCUUUUAUUAGUUUUCAUUCUUGCAUGUAGACUGCAGAUUUAAUGUCUUGGAGUAAUCCGGCUGGGAUAAUUAAAGAUGGUGUUGUCAACUAAUUUAACUCCAGGUGACUCAUCCAAAACCCCUUUUUCCCUAAUCUAAUCAGUGACUAUUAAAUUAACUGUUUCACUCCCAAUAUAAGUGUGUUGGUUUCCAUCUCAAACAAUUACAACAAGAAAUUAAAAUUGUAGAAAAUAUACCAUGAAAAGAGAUUUGUGUCCUGUGUUAAUUGUGUUCGGGCUUUAUGAUGUUGACAGCUGUCCACUAUGAACUGCAGACCUCCAACUAGCUUCUCGUAUAGCCAUGAAAUAGCCAUCAUAUGGUAACAUUUUUCAAUCACUACCAAUCAGGAGGACUUGAAUUGAUGCUUUCAGAUACAAUUACAUUAUUUUAUCAUUGGUGUAAUUGUUGAUGUUAGAGUAGUUUUGUGGUUUUUAUCUUCUGUUUCUAUUUUAAUAUUUGUAUUACCAUAGUACUCAAUGUUUGGCUAAAAUGUGUAAAUUAGUAAAAAUGUUUCAUUGUGUUGUACAACCAUGAAAGGAAAUAAUGUAAAGAGAUGAGAAGAAUGUAAGGAAACACGCAAGAUUUCCACAAUUUGAAGUUUACUAGUUUCACGCACUUAGUUACUUAUUAAUCUAAUAUUACUGUAAAUGAGCAUUAAGCAACAAAGGGAUAGUUAAUUUAGGAAGAAUUCCUUUUCUGUAGAUAACAAAUACAACUAAUCAGUAUCAUAUUUGAUCCUGUAAUAUAAAUGUAGAAUGACAGUGCAUUUUUAAACUGGUUACAUCAUAUGUGCUGAUAACAUUGCCCGAUUUCACUCUGAAUUUAAAAAUUGAGAGAGCUUGUGCUUUUGAAUCUCAUUAAGAUGUAAAACAAUAUGUAGGAUAUCAAGUAAAUAGAUGCAAUUAGAGAUGAAACUUUGUCUCAGUGACUUAAGAUACAGGUGCUAUUGAAAGAAUGCAUUUGUAACAUAAUACUUUGUAUAUUACUUUUCUGAGUCAUAGCAAUGCAAUCACAUUUUUUUAUUUAGCAAUUGGAUUUUUAAUCCUCUUUCCUUGUAACAGCAUUAUAAGAAACGAACUUAGUUUUCUAGAAAGUUUUACAUUAACUCUUUUCACAUGGAGUUCUUUGGGUUACCGGAGAAUUUAAAGCUUUUUAGUUUGUUAAAUAGUAAAAGAAGGUAGUCUUGAAUUAAUUAAUGUUUUAAAUCUUUAAUUUUCUUCUACCUGAUGAAGGACCAAUAAAGUAUAAUUAAAAUGCUGCUUAGAAAUGACAGCUGCACAUCAAAAGCUUUUUUUUAUAAUAAAUAGUUUCUGUCUUGGA